ACGCAGCGAAAUGCGAUAAGUAAUGUGAAUUGCAGAAUUCAGUGAAUCAUCGAAUCUUUGAACGCACAUUGCGCCCGCCAGUAUUCUGGCGGGCAUGCCUGUUCGAGCGUCAUUUCAACCAUCAAGCCCCCGGCUUGUGUUGGGGACCUGCGGCUGCC
rnacentral:rRNA from 1 species